rnacentral:rRNA from 1 species
UACGUAGGGUGCGAGCGUUGUCCGGAAUUAUUGGGCGUAAAGAGCUCGUAGGCGGUGUGUCACGUCGGCCGUGAAAACCUGCAGCUUAACUGUGGGCGUGCGGUCGAUACGGGCAUCACUGGAGUUCGGCAGGGGAGACUGGAAUUCCUGGUGUAGCGGUGAAAUGCGCAGAUAUCAGGAAGAACACCGGUGGCGAAGGCGGCGAUCUGGGUCGAUACUGACGCUGAGGUGCGAAAGCGUGGGGAGCAAACAGG